AAAAUUGGAGAUGAUUCCUUCUGAAUUUAGCAACAUUCCAACACGACAGAAGAUUGAGGCAUAUCGUUGUGGUGAAAAUGUUGAAAGUUCAGCUUUGCAAAUUCGAGAAGAGCAACUGGAGUAUGGUAACCAAGACUUUGAGGUGACAAUCAGUAAAUGAUCGUUACAUCAACCUUUUUUCCCCCCCUCCAGAAUUUACCUAAUUCCUUGACAUCCAACACUCACAUGGUGAGAAAAAUGAUACAACUCCCUGCUCCAUGUCAAUUGUCAGUUGUUCUUAUUCAUAGUAUUUUCUUUGUAAU
rnacentral:lncRNA from 1 species